UACGUAGGUCCCGAACGUUGCGCGAAUUUACUGGGCGUAAAGGGUCCGUAGGCGGUUUAGCAAGGGGUUGGUGAAAUUUCCCGGCUCAACCGUGAAACUGCCUUCCAAACUGCUAAACUUGAGGCAGGGAGAGGUCGGCGGAAUUUCCGGUGUAGCGGUGAAAUGCGUAGAUAUCGGGAGGAACACCAGUGCCGAAGGCGGCCGACUGGAACUUUCCUGACGCUGAGGGACGAAAGCUAGGGGAGCAAACCGG
rnacentral:rRNA from 1 species